rnacentral:tRNA from 1 species
GAGGGAAUAGCUCAGUGGUGGAGUGCGUGCUUAGCAUGCAUGAGGUCAUGGAUUCAAUCCCCAGUACCUCCA